UUAAAAUCCCACAGCAUGUUCUCAGUCUAAUCUCCUUUUAUCUCCGCAACCCGAUUUCAGCAAUUGUGUUUAUCACUUAAAUGCCUCCUCUUGUUCAUAACUUUGAUGAUUCUCACAUGGGCUAUAGACUGCUGUUUACUCUAAUUGUAUUCUUAUUAACAUUCCCAUUUUAAAUGACUAAAAAUAAGACUUUGACCUUCCAAAGUGAAUGACUGCUUACUGCCCUUCCUUGGGGAGAAAUUAACUUUGGAAAUAUCUGCAAAGUAUGUACAUGGUUAUAUGUCCAUUCAUUUUCCUUCUUAUUUGCUUCUUUAAGGUGGAGUCUCCUAUUUAUUUUCUGGAAGAGACGUGGGGACAAAGGAUCACUGGGCCCCAAAGAAAAUGUGAGAAGAUCAUAUUGACAAACUGAAAACGUUUCUGAAGAUAAGAAACAGGUGUAAGAGAGCUGCUCAAGUGACUGACAGACCUGCAGUAGGAAGUAGAACUGCCUUGCCCUCUGAAGCUUGAAGCAGAGGUACCUGGCCAAACCCAGAUCAGCCAAAUUUAAAUCAACCUCAGACACGACAUUAUAUGUAAAACAAAUAUAAGAAGACUCUGAAAGUUGGAGAAAAGACGUUAGACCAUCUGGAGACCUUGGGAUCUGAGGAACAACAUAGCAUGUCAGUGAAGACCACAUGGGGACAUGGAAGCAGUGACAAGACCCCUCUACCCUCUCUCAGCAGUAAGAGGAGCCCCUCCCCAUCCCAGGUGUCAACAGAGGCUGAGUGGGAACCUGGACUUCUACCCCCACCUGGUAGUAACAAGACAGGCUCCACCCCUUUCUUUGCCAGAGUGGUGUUGGAAGAAGCCAAUAAAAACAAAAGGUGUAAAUGAGACUGAGCGUCUCAUAACGUGAUAUCCAAAAUGUCUAGCUUUCCAUCGAAGAUCAUAUCAAGAGCCAGGAAAAUCUCAACUUGAAUGGAAAAAGACAAUCAAUAGAUCCCAACAUCAAAAUGACAGAGAUGGCAGAAUUAUCUGACAAAUAUUUUAAAGACAGCCAUUAUAUAAAUGUUUGAAAUAAACUAUUACAAACAUACUUGAAACAAACAAAAAAUAGAAAGUCUCAGCAGAAGUAUAGAAGAUAUAAAGAAGAACCAGAUAAAAAUUUUAGAACCGAAAAAUACAAAAGCCGAAACAAAAGACAACAGCAGAAUAAACGAGACAGGAAGAAAAUCAAUGAACUUGAAGAUAGAGCAGCAGAAAUUAAGCAAUAUGAAUAACAGAGAGAAAAUAGACUAAAAAAAUGAAAAGAACCUCAGGGACUUAGGAAACUAUAACAAAAGAUCUAACAUUCCUGUCACUGGAGUCUUGCAAGGAGAGAAGAAAAAGGGCGGGGCUAAGAAAAGGACACAAAGAAAUCAUAGCUAAAAGCUUCCAAAAAAAGUGAUGUAAUCUUAUUGGCAAUUAAGAAUUCAAAUUGAAUAAUAAAAUGACAUUUUUAUCCUUUGCUUCUCUAAUUGGCAAAAAAUAUUUAUGAUUGAUGACAUUGCAUAUUAGUAGGUAUAUGAGAAAUGAGGAUUCUUACAGUUAGUGACAGUUUAAAUUGAUGAUAUGUUUUUCAUUAAGUUUUUCUGAAUUGUCUAUUGCUAUCAAAAUUGUAAAUGUGCACAUUCCCUGAUGCUGAAAUUACACUUCCAGAAAUAAAUCUAUCCCAUGAAAUAGCCACAUAUGUUCAGAAAUCAUAUAAACUAUAUAAAGAAUAUUUAUUGCAAUAUCAUGUGUAAUCAUGGAAAAUUACAAAUAAAAACAUCCAUUAAAACAGAAAUAGUUAAUGAAUUGUGACUUAUUUGUACUAUAGAUGUGACAGAGUUGUUUAAUAAAUGUAUGAGAUUGACUUACACAAUUUGAUAUGGAAAUAACUCUAAGUUUUAAAAUGCUAGUAAAGGAACACUAUGUAUAAUAUGGUCCCAAACACAAGUACACCAAGAAAGGUGUAUGUUUGUGAAUACAAUGCAUAGAAAGUGGACAUAGAGAUAAGACAUUUUAAGAGUAUCCCCAGCUCCAAGCUGUGUUUGCUUGAGCCUUUGAAUAAACUGAAAAAAACAGAAAAUGUCACUGUUAAAGAAUGGUGUGGAAGGACUGAUAGAGAUUAUGAGGUGAUCAAAAUCUCCCUAAAGCAAAGGUUGACAGUUAAUUGAGUUUGACAGAGGUGGGUGACAAAGGGAAAUGUUCACACUUCGUUCUCCACUCUUUUAUGUCUUUGGCUCAUGUCCA
rnacentral:lncRNA from 1 species